rfam:Triticum aestivum genome assembly, contig: Triticum_aestivum_CS42_TGACv1_scaffold_134032_2BL
GGCAUCGGAGAAGAAGAGCUGCUCUCCUUCAUCAUUGCAGGGCUGGAUAUGGACUAUUAGCCCAUCAUAUUUGCCCUCGACGUCCGCACCAACCCUGUCUCCGUCGACGAGCUGUUUGCCAUGGUGGCGAACUUCGACC